rnacentral:rRNA from 1 species
GAUGAACGCUGGCGGCGUGCCUAAUACAUGCAAGUCGAGCGAACAGAUAAGGAGCUUGCUCCUUUGACGUUAGCGGCGGACGGGUGAGUAACACGUGGAUAACCUACCUAUAAGACUGGGAUAACUUCGGGAAACCGGAGCUAAUACCGGAUAACAUAUUGAACCGCAUGGUUCAAUAGUGAAAGGCGGCUUUGCUGUCACUUAUAGAUGGAUCCGCGCCGUAUUAGCUAGUUGGUAAGGUAACGGCUUACCUAGGCAACGAUACGUAGCCGACCUGAGAGGGUGAUCGGCCACACUGGAACUGAGACACGGUCCAGACUCCUACGGGAGGCAGCAGUAGGGAAUCUUCCGCAAUGGGCGAAAGCCUGACGGAGCAACGCCGCGUGAGUGAUGAAGGUCUUCGGAUCGUAAAACUCUGUUAUCAGGGAAGAACAAAUGUGUAAGUAACUGUGCACAUCUUGACGGUACCUGAUCAGAAAGCCACGGCUAACUACGUG